GGCCGGGGGACGGACCGGGAAUCGCCCCUUCGGGAGCUUUCCCCGAGCAUGAAACAGUCGACUCAGAACUGGUACUGACAAGGGGAAUCCGACUGUUUAAUUAAAACAAAGCAUUGCGAUGGUCCUCGCGGAUGCUGACGCAAUGUGAUUUCUGCCCAGUGCUCUGAAUGUCAAAGUGAAGAAAUUCAACCAAGCGCGGG
rnacentral:ncRNA from 1 species